rnacentral:rRNA from 1 species
GACGAACGCUGGCGGCGUGCCUAAUACAUGCAAGUCGAGCGGACGAAUCGAAAGCUUGCUUUUGAUUCGUUAGCGGCGGACGGGUGAGUAACACGUGGGCAACCUGCCCUGUAGACGGGGAUAACACCGAGGAAUCGGUGCUAAUACCGGAUAACACGAAAUGUCGCAUGACGUUUCGUUGAAAGACGGCGCAAGCUGUCGCUACAGGAUGGGCCCGCGGCGCAUUAGCUAGUUGGUGAGGUAACGGCUCACCAAGGCGACGAUGCGUAGCCGACCUGAGAGGGUGAUCGGCCACACUGGGACUGAGACACGGCCCAGACUCCUACGGGAGGCAGCAGUAGGGAAUCUUCCGCAAUGGACGAAAGUCUGACGGAGCAACGCCGCGUGAGCGAAGAAGGCCUUCGGGUCGUAAAGCUCUGUUGUUAGGGAAGAACAAGUAACGCAGUAACUGGCGUUACCGUGACGGUACCUAACGAGAAAGCCACGGCUAACUACGUG